rnacentral:rRNA from 1 species
AACGAACGCUGGCGGCAUGCCUAACACAUGCAAGUCGAACGAGACGUUCGGGUCUAGUGGCGCACGGGUGGGUAACGCGUGGGAACCUGCCCUUAGGUUAGGAAUAACUCCCCGUAAGGGAUGCUAAUAACGGAUAAUGUAUUAGGACCAAAGACUUUUCGCCUUUGGCUGGGCGCGGGUUGGCUUCGCCGGUUGGUAGUGUAAACGCAUCCCAAGGCGGUGAUCCAUGGCUGGUCUGAGAGGAUGACCUGCCACGCUGGGACUGCGACACGGCCCAGCCUCCUACGGGAGGGAGCAGUGGGGAAUAUUGUACGCGGGGCGAAAGCCUGAUCCAGCAAUGCCGCGUGAGUGAUGAAGCCCUUAGUGUUGUAAAGCUCUUUUACCCGGGAUGAUAAUGACAGUACCGGGAGAAUAAGCUCCGGCUAACUCCGUG